GAACAGAGCAGGAAAGCAGAGAGAUUGCUAUGUUCAGCUCAUGGUGCUCUUCAGGAAUACACAAACAGAAGAAUCACACAUAAGCAACAAACCUAAAAUGUUUUAGUGUAAAAAGGGUACUAAGCAUGCCCAGAUCUUUAUUAAAAGAACAAGCAGCGAAUUCUAAGCAGUUCCUACCAUCCUUGGGUGCUACAAACAGAAACAACAGUUAAAUCACUGUACAUAAUGACUGCAGAUUUACGACGAGCAGCGGUCUGUGGCCUCGGCACGAGCAGAAAACAAGAAAUAAAUUUUCCUUUGAAGCUUUCAGGAAAAAGCAUGCCACGUUUCAUGGGCACUUCUGGAAAACAAUUUAUUGUGGGACAGGAGCAUUUGGUGAGCCAGCAGUGCAAGAGUACAUCCAUGCCUGGAAUGGGUUCCUCUUGGUGCUACACUGCUAUAAAACAGAGGCUCUCUAUUGACUGGCAAAUAAUACAACUCCUUCCAGGCACAGAA